AAACAACUUUUGCAGCAGGAGGAAAAGUUCAAAGCGCACCUGCAAGCACGUGCGUGACAGAUGUGAUCAAUUAUAAGACAUCAAAGAGAGUACAGAUGCCUGCGAGAGAUGCUGUCAGACCGCAGAAGUGCUUCUUUUAGAGGUGCUAAAAAUGAUGUUCAAUUCAUUAAACCUUAUAUUAAACAUGUUCAAGGCAUUGGUGAUGCACUUCAAGCUUGAAAGCAAACGUCAGCAUUGGCUUUCAAUUAAGAAAACAGAAAAACAGAACCACUUUAAUUAUCAACAUACAUCCAAACAUUCUGCACACGCUUAUUUGUAGGAGAAAGCUAUUAUAACGAGCAGUUAGUAAUGUUAACUUCUUAUUGCAAUCUUUCUGGUAAAAAUUGAUAUUGUCAAUAUCAAUAUCCAGAUUUUAGGUCCAGAUUUGCUGCGCUUGUUUGAAGGGCUGUACAAUUUGGCCAAAAAUGUUAUAAUUACAUCAAUAUGACGGUAAAAUAUGAAUUGUACUGUCAUUUUUGUAUUUUUUUUUACAGUGCAACUAUACAAUAAUUGAAUCAAAUUAACUCUUUUUCAAACCAUAAAGCUUUUCUUUUGUUGGCAAGUCAGCAUUUUAUAAGCGCUUCUCAUUCAAAGUUUGGGAAGAUGGUUGGUGCAUGGUGUGUUUCCAAAUACACGUUAUAAGUGUCCCAAACUUACAAGUUCAUGUGGAUCAGAUGAGCAGAUUUAGAGAUACUGAAAUCAUCGGAUCAUCAGCUGCUCGUGUGUAAAGGAAUGCAGUGCUGCACUUCACGCGGAAACAUACAGUGCCUAUAUAUUAAUUUAUUUAAUUAAAUCAAAGCUAUUGCAAUUUGAUAUUGAUCGCAAUAAGCCAAAUCACAUCGUAGUUUUAUUCUAGUUUUAUUGCAAGGCAACUUGCAACAGAAUGAAUUCAAUCUAUAAACCUAAUGCAACCAUUCACUUUCUUUUCAGGUAAUAAUAAAUGAGUUUAAAGAAGUUUUUUUAAUUCAAAGACAAAAAAAAAUGCUCAAAGUCGUGGGCCACAAGUUUGAGGUUUUAUGAAUCAAGUCAAUAUAAAUCCUCCAGGAGAGCAUGUUUAUGCGCAUCUACGGGGCUACAGCAUCAAAGCUUUGGUAAACAAACGAUUAAAAAUGAUUCAGAAUCAAACAGGUUGAAUAAAUAACCACAGUGAUGCCUUCGUAAGCUCUCAGUCAUAAGCAACACAAAUAAGAUCCACUAUUCCAGUCCUUCAUUCAUCCACCCAAUCACAUCGCUCCUUCCCUCCCUCCAUUCCUCUCAUUGGCUGCAUUCGCAUCCAGUCAUUGGGCGGAUUAAACGCAGUGGUGCAGUUUUCUGUUACCCUAAACUGUACAAAAAUAGACGCCUAGUGCUGCUUUAUCUAAUUUUGAAAACAAACAAAAAAACAAAAUGAAUAAUAAUACAACAGUCUUUCAAUUGAUUCGCUAAUAUAUACAGAAGUUUUUGAUCUCUAACCAGAAGGCUGAGUGCUUUAUCCUUGUGAAUACAACAUAAACAAAUAACUUUAAUAUAUCUUAAGCUCCGAUGCUCAAUCUAGAUCUCUAAAUACAUAUAUAUCUGUGCAUAUAGGUAUACAUAUAUAUGUAAAGCACACAGCCUGCAGAAUUAACUUGAAUUUAUUGACAGGCAAGAUUCGCACGGACACUGCGAAACGUUUGUUGUUCUAGCACAGUGUAGUUAAAUCAAACGUCUUUUCUUGUGGCAGGAGUCGCACGUUAGUCAACUGUUUUGCCUCCACUUAAAAA